UGCGAAGCAAUGGGGGUUCCUGAAAAUGUGAACUUCCAAAUUGGAGUCUUAUUGAAAGAUGAAGCAUGGUCCCUGUUCGAGAAGAAGGUUGGAGAUUCCAUCAAAGCUGACAUGCGUUCUGUAGCGGAAGCGGUGUGUGAAGAAUGUGCAUGUUUGCCAUUGGUAAUACUUGCAGUUGGAGGAGCACUAAUGAAGAAGAGUAAGAGGGAAUGGAAAGAUGCACUUCAACAAUUGAGAAAUUCCACCGCAAAGAACAUUCCAAGAUGGAGCACAAAAGUCUAUUCACCCAUAGAGUUUAGCUACAACAACCUGGAGCAUGCUGAUGCGAAAUCAAUUUUUUUGCUUUGUUGUUUGUUCGGAGAAGAUGUUGAGAUUUCCAUUGAUAACUUGGUAAGGUAUGGAGUUGGAUUGAGGCUUCUCCAAGGCGUGGAUACAAUGGAAGAAGCAAGGAAUAGAGCACAUGUGUUGGUCACGACGCUCAAGACAUCCUCUUUGUUAUUAGACGGUAGUGAGAAAGACUUGGUGAAAAUGCACGAUGUCACUCGAGAUUUCGCCAUUUGGAUUGCAUCAAAAGAGGAAGAUACCAAGUUUCUAGUGAAAGAUGGUGUCAGGUUUUGGCCAGAUGAGGAUGAAUAUAAACAAUGCAAAGCAAUCUCAUUAAGGUUCAAUAAUGAUUGUGUGCUUCCCAAUGAUUUAGAAUGUUCAGAACUACACACCUUAAUGUUGGAAUUCCACAAUCUUUCAUCAGAAGUUCCAAGUAACUUUUUUAAAGGGAUGGAAAAGCUUGAAGUUUUACAAUUGCGUGACAUGCAGAUUUCGGAACUACCGUCGUCACUUAAAAAUCUUAGGAUGUUAUGUCUAUACAACUGCAAAUUGGUGAAGGUAGCUUUUCUCAAGGAAUUUAAAAAACUUGAGAUACUAUGCAUUAAAGAUUCUGAUCUCAGAGAACUGGCUCCAGAAAUAGGCCAGUUGACUCGCUUGCGGUUGUUGGAUCUGAGGGACUGUGACAAGCUCAUGAUCAUUCCCUCAGGUGUCAUAUCAAGUCUAUCCCAACUUGAGGAAUUGUACAUUCCAAAUGAGUUUGACCAAUGGGAGGUUAAAGACAAUGCAAGUCUUAAUGAACUAAACUCAUUGAACCACAUAAUCAGUUUACAAGUUUUUGAGCCCCUGUUUAAGUCGUUGAACAGAUUUCAAAUAUCCAUUGGGAGCAAGCUUAGUAUUUGGGAGCGACCUUCAUCAGCAACAAGGAUAUUGAAAGUAGUGGGUUUCCCUUUGAAGAAGGAGCUUAACAUUUUGAUGGAGAAAGCUGAAGUACUGUAUUUGGAAGACUUGAGAGAGAAUGUUCCUAAGGGACUAUGCGGAUCUGUUUCAUUUCGUGAAUUAAGUUUGUUAAAAGUUGAAAACUGUAAAUUAAUGAUAUAUCUCUUUUCCUCAGCCGCUGCAAGAAGUCUUUCACAACUCCAAAAAUUAAGUGUAAGAAAUUGUGAAAUCAUGGAGGAAAUAGUCAGAGAUGACCAGGAAGUCAUGGAUGAAGUUAUUGUUUUUGACCAUUUAAAGGAAAUAGAGUUGAAGGAUCUACCCAAUUUCAGAAGUUUCUAUGUCAAUAUGAAGAAGUCGACAACUAGGGACUGCAACACGUCUACCCUUGUGCAAGCUUUGUUUAACGAUAAGGUUGCAUUCCCUGCUUUGGAGGAACUAAAGAUUGAAAAUUUGAAAAGCCUUACAGCGAUAUGGGAAGGCCAAUCCCAAUCACUCAUAGUGAAGGAAGCACAAGUUUCCUUUCAAAGCCUAAGGUCCAUGGACGUAUGGAAUUGUGAUAAAUUGGUGAAUGUGAUUGCCUCCAAUGUGCUCCCAAGCUUACAAAAGCUAGAAAAACUUAAAGUCUCCAAAUGUGAUUCAGUGAAAGAGAUAUUUGCAGUUGAAAGGGGACAAUUAGGAGAAAAAGAUGGAGUGCAUGACGAGAUCAUUGUCUUCCCUCAAUUGAAGUAUUUGGAACUUGAAGAGUUGCCCAGAGUGGAAACCCUCUUCAACCACAAGGUUGCAUUCCCUGCCCCGGAGGAACUAUAUAUUAGAGAAUUAGAAAGCCUUACAGCGAUAUGGGAAGGCCAAUCCCAAUCACUCCUAGUGAAGGAAGCACAAGUUUCCUUUCAAAGCCUAAGGUCCUUGGACGUAUGGGAAUGUCAUAAAUUGGUGAAUGUGAUUGCCUCCAAUGUGCUCCCAAGCUUAAAGAAGCUAGAAAAACUUAAUGUUGGUUCAUGUGCUUCAGUGGAAGAGAUAGUUGCAGUUAAAAUGGGACAAUUAAGAGAAGAAGAUGUAGUGCAUGAUGAGAUCAUUGUCUUCCCUCAAUUGAAGAAUUUGAGACUUGAAGACUUGCCAAACCUCAAAAGUUUCACUCUUGGAUCCAAAGAAUUAGAAGAAACAGUGGAUCAAAUCAUUCCCAGAGUGGAAGCUCUCUUCAACCACAAGGUUGCAUUUCCUGUCUUGGAGGUACUAAAUAUUGGCAGAUUGGAAAGCCUUACAGCGAUAUGGGAAGGCCAAUCCCAAUCACUCAUAGUGAAGGAAGCACAAGUUUCCUUUCAAAGCCUAAGGUCCAUGGACGUAUGGAAUUGUGAUAAAUUGGUGAAUGUGAUUGCCUCCAAUGCAGUUUACAGAUGUGAUUCAGUGGAAGAGAUAGUUGCAGUUGAAAGGGGACAAUUAGGAGAAGAAGAUGUAGUGCAUGAUGAGAUCAUUGUCUUCCCUCAAUUGAAGUAUUUGAAACUUAUAGGCUUGCCAAACCUCACAAGUUUCACUCAUGAAUCCAAAGAAGAAGGAGAAACAAUGGAUCAAAUCAUUCCCAGAGUGGAAGCUCUCUUCAACCACAAGGUUGCAUUCCCUGCUUUGGAGGAACUAAAGAUUGAAAAUUUGAAAAGCCUUACAGCGAUAUGGGAAGGCCAAUCCCAAUCACUCAUAGUGAAGGAAGCACAAGUUUCCUUUCAAAGCCUAAGGUCCAUGGACGUAUGGAAUUGUGAUAAAUUGGUGAAUGUGAUUGCCUCCAAUGCAGUUUACAGAUGUGAUUCAGUGGAAGAGAUAGUUGCAGUUGAAAGGGGACAAUUAGGAGAAGAAGAUGUAGUGCAUGAUGAGAUCAUUGUCUUCCCUCAAUUGAAGUAUUUGAAACUUAUAGGCUUGCCAAACCUCACAAGUUUCACUCAUGAAUCCAAAGAAGAAGGAGAAACAAUGGAUCAAAUCAUUCCCAGAGUGGAAGCUCUCUUCAACCACAAGGUUGCAUUCCCUGCCUUGGAGGAACUAAAGAUUGAAAAUUUGAAAAGCCUUGCAGCAAUAUGGGAAGGCCAAUACCAAUCACUCCUAGUGAAGGAAGCACAAGUUUCCUUUCAAAGCCUAAGGUUCAUGACAGUAUGGGGAUGUGAUAAAUUGGUGAAUGUGAUCGCCUCCAAUGAAGUCUACAGAUGUGAUUCAGUGGAUGAGAUCAUUGUCUUCAACCACAAGGUUUCAUUACCUGCCUUGGAGAAACUGACUAUUGAAAAACUACAAAGCCUUAGAGCAAUAUGGGUUGACCAAUCGCAACCACUAGAGCAAGUGAAGGAGGCUGACGAUUUCUUUCGGUGCCUAACCGACAUGAUUGUCCUUAGAAAUAAGAAACUGGUGAAUGUGAUUCCCUCCAAUAUGCCCCUAAUGUUACAGAACUUAAAACAACUCAAAGUUGAGGAAUGUGAUUCAUUGUUUUCUGAAGUUGAAGUGCUUGGUACUGUUGAAAAAGGGUCUCCAAUAGCUGAACCAACAAUUAAUGUACUUCCUCGGCUGCAAGAAAUGCUUCUGGAGGGUCUACCUAACUUGGUAAUGUAUAUAAGGUUGAACAGAAAGGAACACUUUGCGGGCAGAAUUUGUGCGUAUUCAAACCUAAUAGAUCUUCACCUUUCUAAUCGUGACAAUUUGGAAAAUGUAUUCUCACCAUCUACAGCGAGAUACCUUGUGCACCUUCAAAAAUUAAAAAUAUUUAACUGUGAAAAAAUGGAACAGAUUGUUGCAAUUGAAAGGGGAGAAGUUGGAGAAAAUAAAGUGCAUGAUGAGAUAAUCGUCUUCCCUCAAUUGAAGUACUUGAGACUUGAAAAAUUGCCAAACCUCAAAAGUUUAUGUUGCUGCAGUCGCGGAUCCAAAAAAGGUGAAGAAGAAACAGUGGAGCUAAAUAUUCCUAGAGUAGAAGCCCUCUUCAACCACAAGGUUGCAUUCCCUGCCCUGGAGGAACUAGAGAUUAGACAAUUAGAAAGCCUUACAGCGAUAUGGGAAGGCCAAUCCCAAUCACUCCAAGUGAAGGAAGCACAAAUUUCCUUUCAAAGCCUAAGGUCCAUGAAAGUAUGGGAAUGUCAUAAAUUGGUGAAUGUGAUUGCCUCCAAUGCAGUCUACAGAUGCGAUUCAGUGGAAGAGAUAGUUGUAGUUGAAAGGGGACAAUUAGGAAAAGAAGAUGUAAUGCAUGAUGAGAUCAUUGUCUUCCCUCAAUUGAAGUAUUUGGAACUUAAAGAGUUGCCCAGAGUGGAAACCCUCUUCAACCACAAGGUUGCAUUCCCUGCUUUGGAAGAAUUGAGCAUUAUAGAAUUGGAAAGCCUUACAUCACUAUGGAAUGACCAAUCACAUUCACUCCUAGUGAAUGAAGGAGGAGAUUCCUUCGGGGUCUUAAAGUGCAUAGAGGUCAAAAGAUGUAACAAACUGGUGAAUGUGAUUCCCUCCGAUGUGCUCCCAAGGUUACAAAAUCUAGAAAAACUCGUAGUUGAUGGAUGUGAUUCAUUGUUUUCUGAAGUUGAAGUGCUUGGAACUGUUGAAAAAGGGUCUCGAAUAGCUGAACCAACAAUUAAUGUACUUCCUCGGCUACAAGAAAUGCUUCUGGAGGGUCUACCUAACUUGGUGAUGUAUAUGAGGUUGAACAGAAAGGAACACUUAGCGGGCAGAAUUUGUGCGUAUUCAAACCUAAAAGAUCUUCACCUUUCUAAUCGUGACAAUUUGGAAAAUGUAUUCUCACCAUCCACAGCGAGAUACCUUGUGCACCUUCAAAAAUUAAAAAUAUUUAACUGUGAAAAAAUGGAACAGAUUGUUGCAAUUGAAAGGGGAGAAUUAGGAGAAGUUGAAGAAAAUAAAGUGCAUGAUGAGAUAAUCGUCUUCCCUCAAUUGAAGUACUUGAGACUUGAAAAAUUGCCAAACCUCAAAAGUUUCUGUUGCUGCAGUCGCGGAUCCAAAAAAGGUGAAGAAGAAACAGUGGAGCUGAACAUUCCUAGAGUAGAAGCCCUCUUCAACCACAAGGUUUCAUUACCUGCCUUGGAGGAAUUGACUAUUGAAGACCUAGAAAGCCUUACAGCAAUAUGGGUUGACCAAUCACAACCACUAAAGCAAGUGAAGGAGGCUGAAGAUUCCUUUCGGCGCCUAACCGACAUGAUUGUCCGUAAAUGUGAGAAAUUGGUGAAUGUGAUUCCCUCCUGUAUGCUCCCAAGGUUGCAGAACCUAAAACAACUCCGAGUUGAGAAAUGCGAUUCAUUGUUUUCUGAAGUUGAAGUGCAUGGUAGUGUUGAAAAAGGGUCCCCAACAGUUGAACCAACAAUUGAUGUACUCCCUCGGCUACAAGAAAUGCUUCUCACGGAUCUACCUAACUUGGUGAUGUAUAUGACGUUGAACAGAAAGGAACACUUUGCGGGCGGCAUUUGUGCGUAUUCAAACCUAACAGAUUUGCACCUUUCUAAACGUGACAAUUUGAAAAAUGUAUUCUCACCAUCCACAGCGAGAUACCUUGUGCACCUCAAAAAAUUAGAAGUAUGUCGGUGUAAAAAGAUGGAAGAGAUAGUUGCAAUUGAAAGGAGAGAAUUAGAAGAAGUUGGAAAAGAAGAUCUAGUGCAUGAUGAGAUCAUUGUCUUCUCUCAAUUAAAGCAUUUGGAACUUAAAAACUUGCCAAACUUUAAAAGUUUCUGUUGCUGCACUAGUGGAUCCAAAAAACGUGAAGAAGAAACGGUGGAGCUGAACAUUUCUCAAGUGGAAGCCCUCUUCAACCACAAGGUUGCAUUCCCUGCCCUGGAGGAACUAGAGAUUAUAGAAUUAGAAAGCCUUACAGCGAUAUGGGAAGGCCAAUCCCAAUCACUCCAAGUGAAGGAAGCACAAAUUUCCUUUCAAAGCCUAAGGUCCAUGGAAGUAUGGGAAUGUCAUAAAUUGGUGAAUGUGAUUGCCUCCAAUGUGCUCCCAAGCUUACAAAAGCUAGAAAAACUUAAAGUCUCCGAAUGUGAUUCAGUGAAAGAGAUAUUUGCAGUUGAAAGGGGACAAUUAGGAGAAAAAGAUGGAGUCCAUGACGAGAUCAUUGUCUUCCCUCAAUUGAAGUAUUUGGAACUUGAAGAGUUGCCCAGAGUGGAAACCCUCUUCAACCACAAGGUUGCAUUCCCUGCCCUGGAGGAACUAGAGAUUAUAGAAUUAGAAAGCCUUACAGCGAUAUGGGAAGGCCAAUCCCAAUCACUCCAAGUGAAGGAAGCACAAAUUUCCUUUCAAAGCCUAAGGUCCAUGGAAGUAUGGGAAUGUCAUAAAUUGGUGAAUGUGAUUGCCUCCAAUGUGCUCCCAAGCUUACAAAAGCUAGAAAAACUUAAAGUCUCCGAAUGUGAUUCAGUGAAAGAGAUAUUUGCAGUUGAAAGGGGACAAUUAGGAGAAAAAGAUGGAGUCCAUGACGAGAUCAUUGUCUUCCCUCAAUUGAAGUAUUUGGAACUUGAAGAGUUGCCCAGAGUGGAAACCCUCUUCAACCACAAGGUUGCAUUCCCUGCUUUGGAAGAAUUGGGCAUUAUAGAAUUGAAAAGCCUUACAUCACUAUGGAAUGACCAAUCACAUUCACUCCUAGUGAAUGAAGGAGGAGAUUCCUUCGGGGUCUUAAAGUGCAUAGAGGUCAAAAGAUGUAACAAACUGGUGAAUGUGAUUCCCUCCGAUGUGCUCCCAAGGUUACAAAAUCUUGAAAAACUCUUAGUUGAUGGAUGUGAUUCAGUGAUAUCGGAAGCUAAAGUGCUCACUGUUGGAAAAGGGUCUCCAGCAGCUGGACCAACAAUUGUACUCCCUCAACUAAAAGUAAUGUGUCUAAUGAAUCCACCUUACUCGAUGAUGUAUAUGCUACAGGAUUUGAACAGAAAGGAAUACUCUGGUAGACAUUUUGCCUAUCCAAACCUAAAAGAACUACGUUUUUCUAAAUGUCACAGUUUGAGAAAUGUAUUCUCACCGUUCACAACAAAAUAUCUUGUGCACCUCGAAAAAUUAGAAGUGACUGAUUGUGAGAAGAUGGAAGAGAUAGUUGUAGUUGAAAGGGGACAAUUAUAUAGAGAAGAAGAUGUAGUGUAUGAUGAGAUCAUCGUCUUUCCUCAAUUAAAGCACUUGACCCUUCAACAGUUGCCAAACCUCAACAGUUUUUGCAGCGUUUGUGAAUUCGAGAAAGAAGAAGAAAUUGCGGAGCAGAAUAUUGGCAGAGUGGAAGCCCUCUUUAAUUACAAGGUUUCAUUACCUGCCUUGGAGGAAUUGACUAUUGAAGACCUACAAAGCCUUACAGCAAUAUGGGUUGACCAAUCACAACCACUAGAGCAAGUGAAGGAGGCUGAAGAUUCCUUUGGGCGCCUAACCAACAUGAUUGUCCAUGGAUGUGAGAAAUUGGUGAAUGUGAUUCCCUCCUGUAUGCUCCCAAGGUUGCAGAACCUAAAACAACUCCAAGUUGGGAAAUGCGAUUCCUUGUUUUCUGAAGUUGAAGUGCAUGGUAGUGUUGAAAAAGGGUCCCCAACAGUUGAACCAACAAUUGAUGUACUCCCUGGGCUACAAGAAAUGCUUCUCAGGGAUCUACCUAACUUGGUGAUGUAUAUGACGUUGAACAGAAAGGAACACUUUGCGGGCGGCAUUUGUGCGUAUUCAAACCUAACAGAUUUGCACCUUUCUAAACGUGACAAUUUGAAAAAUGUAUUCUCACCAUCCACAGCGAGAUACCUUGUGCACCUCCAAAAAUUAAAAGUAUGUCGGUGUGAAAAGAUGGAAGAGAUAGUUGCAAUUGAAAGGGGAAAAUUAGAAGAUCUAGUGCAUGAUGAGAUCAUUGUCUUCCCUCAAUUAAAGUAUUUGGAACUUGAAAACUUGCCAAACCUUAAAAGUUUCUGUUGCUGCACUAGUGGAUCCAAAAAACGUGAAGAAGAAACAGUGGAGCUGAACAUUUCUCAAGUGGAAGCCCUCUUCAACCACAAGGUUGCAUUCCCUGCCCUGGAGGAACUAGAGAUUAGAGAAUUAGAAAGCCUUACAGCGAUAUGGGAAGGCCAAUCCCAAUCACUCCUAGUGAAGGAAGCACAAGUUUCCUUUCAAAGCCUAAGGUCCAUGGCAGUAUGGGAAUGUCAUAAAUUGGUGAAUGUGAUUGCCUCCAAUGUGCUCCCAAGCUUGCAGAAGCUAGAAAAACUUAAAGUCUCCGAAUGUGAUUCAGUGGAAGAGAUAGUUGCAGUUGAAAGGGGACAAUUGGAAAAAGAAGAUAUAGUGCAUGAUGAAAUCAUCGUCUUCCCUCAAUUGAAGUAUUUGGAACUUAAUUACUUGAAAAACCUCAAAAGUUUCACUCUUGGAUCCAAAGAAUCUGAAGAAACAGUGGAUCAAAUCAUUCCCAGAGUGGAAGCUCUCUUCAACCACAAGGUUGCAUUCCCUGCCCUGGAGGAACUAGAGAUUAGAGAAUUAGAAAGCCUUACAGCGAUAUGGGAAGGCCAAUCCCAAUCACUCCAAGUGAAGGAAGCACAAAAUUCCUUUCAAAGCCUAAGGUCCAUGAAAGUAUGGAAUUGUGAUAAAUUGGUGAAUGUGAUUGCCUCCAAUGUGCUCCCAAGCUUACAGAAGCUAGAAAAACUUUUUGUCUACAGAUGUUAUUCAGUGGAAGGGAUAGUUGAAGUUGAAAGGGGACAAUUAGGAGAAGAAGAUGUAGUGCAUGAUGAGAUCGUUGUCUUCUCUCAAUUGAAGUAUUUGAAACUUUAUUUCUUGCCAAACCUCACAAGUUUCACUCAUGAAUCCAAAGAAGAAGGAGAAACAGUGGAUCAAAUCAUUCCCAGAGUGGAAGCUCUCUUCAACCACAAGGUUGCAUUCCCUGCCCUGGAGAAACUAAAUAUUAUAAAUUUAGAAAGCCUUACAGCGAUAUGGGAAGGCCAAUCCCAAUCACUCCAAGUGAAGGAAGCACAAAUUUCCUUUCAAAGCCUAAGGUCCAUGCGUGUAUGUGAAUGUCAUAAAUUGGUGAAUGUGAUUGCCUCCAAUGUGCUCCCAAGCUUGCAGAAGCUAGAAAAACUUGAAGUCUCCGAAUGUGAUUCAGUGGAAGAGAUAGUUGCAGUUGAAAGGGGACAAUUGGAAAAAGAAGAUAUAGUGCAUGAUGAAAUCAUCGUCUUCCCUCAAUUGAAGUAUUUGAAACUUAAAGACUUGAAAAACCUCAAAAGUUUCACUCUUGGAUCCAAAGAAUAUGAAGAAACAGUGGAUCAAAUCAUUCCCAGAGUGGAAGCUCUCUUCAACCACAAGGUUGCAUUUCCUGUCUUGGAGGAACUAGAUAUUGGCAGAUUGGAAAGCCUUACAGCGAUAUGGGAAGGCCAAUCCCAAUCACUCAUAGUGAAGGAAGCACAAGUUUCCUUUCAAAGCCUAAGGUCCAUGACAGUAGGGGGAUGUGAGAAAUUGGUGAAUGUGAUUGCCUCCAAUGUGCUCCCAAGCUUACAAAAGCUAGAAAAACUUAAAGUCUCCGAAUGUGAUUCAGUGAAAGAGAUAUUUGCAGUUGAAAGGGGACAAUUAGGAGAAAAAGAUGGAGUGCAUGACGAGAUCACUGUCUUCCCUCAAUUAAAGUAUUUGGAACUUGAAGAGUUGCCCAGAGUAGAAACCCUCUUCAACCACAAGGUUAGUUUCCCAGCUUUGAAGAAAUUGAAAAUUACAAAAUUGCAAAGUCUGGCAGUGAUAUGGGACAACCAAUUAUUCCUAGAUUUGAGAGCACAAGUUUCGCAGCUAAGGUUUGUUAUUGUUCAAGGAUGUGAGAAACUAGUGAAUGUAAUUCCACCCAAUGCAUUCCCAACGGGGCUUAUGGUGUUUCACAGCCUAAAAUAUUUGAUACUUAGUAAAUGCAACAGCCUGAGGUAUGUAUUCUCAUUCUCAAUAGCAAGAGGUCUCAAACAACUCAGAACGCUAUGGGUUGUAGGAUGUAGUGUGAUGGAAGAAAUAGUUAGAAGUGAAGGAGAAGGAGAAGAAGAUGACAUGGAGGAAAUUGUGUUCUCUCAACUACAGGAACUGCGUUUGGAUUAUCUAAAAAACCUCACAUGUUUUUGUGGGACAAAUAAUGCUUUUAAAUUCCCAUCCUUGGAGUGGGUUUAUCUGGGGAAAUGUCCCCAAUUGCAGACAUUCACAACCGGAUGCUUAAGCACACCUAAUAAAUUAACAAUUGAUUAUGAAGUCGGCGAGGGCAAUGAUGUUAUCGACCUUAAUGACUAUGUGCAGCAGUUUGUUCGGAGAGAAAAGGGACUAGCGGUGGAUGAAAGUCCUGGUGAUGGUGAAGGCGAAGACGAUUAUGAUGAUGGAACGGAUGAUGACGAAGGCGAAGACGAUGGCAAUGAUGUUAUCGACCUUAAUGACUAUGUGCAGCAGUUAGUUCGGAGAGAAAAGGGACUAGCGGUGGAUGAAAGUCCUGGUGAUGAUGAAGAUGAUGACGACCUUAAUGACUAUGUGCAGCAGUUUGUUCGGAGAGAAAAGGGACUAGCGGUGGAUGAAAGCGAAGACUAUGACGAAGAUUAUGAUUUCGGUGAUGAUGAUGAUGAUUAUGAUUGUGAUGAUGAUUUGGAUGGUUUCAUGUUGGGGAUGGUGAGGAGGAUGAUGUAUGGGCGACGACGACGACGACGACGAAACAAAUCCUGGUGAAGCAAAAGAGGAUACUUCCUGCUAAAAGCAGUAAAGAAGGUAACGCUUGUGACGUGCUUUUAUAAUGCAAGGUGGGACUAAACUAUUAUAUUCAUCUCUGAAAUAUGAAGAUGGUGAUCCGAUCCGAUGACCGGGUUGUCUCCUACAAUUGCCAAGAACAUUUGUGGGGUUACAGAAUUUGAACAUAUAUAUAUAUGACAUUUCAUUAAUUACUUCCCUUCGUAUAUAGUUAAUUGUGCUAAAUUGUAUUGACUUCAAUUUGCUUACCCUGUUCCUUUUCUGCUUAAGUGUUGCUAGAAACCUAUUUAGCUAGCUAUGGUUGAACUAUUAUAUGCAUGUAUUCAGUUUUAUUGUUUAAUACAUUGGAUUUUCACUCC